UUGAUUCUUCGGAUGAAGAUCUUGGUGACUGAGUGGCGGACGGGUGAGUAACGCGUGGGUAACCUGCCUCAUACAGGGGGAUAACAGUUAGAAAUGACUGCUAAUACCGCAUAAGACCACAGCACCGCAUGGUGCAGGGGUAAAAACUCCGGUGGUAUGAGAUGGACCCGCGUCUGAUUAGGUAGUUGGUGGGGUAACGGCCUACCAAGCCGACGAUCAGUAGCCGACCUGAGAGGGUGACCGGUCACAUUGGGACUGAGACACGGCCCAAACUCCUACGGGAGGCAGCAGUGGGGAAUAUUGCACAAUGGGGGAAACCCUGAUGCAGCGACGCCGCGUGAGCGAUGAAGUAUUUCGGUAUGUAAAGCUCUAUCAGCAGGGAAGAAAAUGACGGUACCUGACUAAGAAGCACCGGCUAAAUACGUGCCAGCAGCCGCGGUAAUACGUAUGGUGCAAGCGUUAUCCGGAUUUACUGGGUGUAAAGGGAGCGUAGACGGAGUGGCAAGUCUGAUGUGAAAACCCGGGGCUCAACCCCGGGACUGCAUUGGAAACUGUCAAUCUAGAGUACCGGAGAGGUAAGCGGAAUUCCUAGUGUAGCGGUGAAAUGCGUAGAUAUUAGGAGGAACACCAGUGGCGAAGGCGGCUUACUGGACGGUAACUGAC
rnacentral:rRNA from 1 species